AGCAGGUGCAGGUUACAGCCGGCCGCGCGUCGCUGUCCGCCAGGCCGUCGCGGGUUGGCAUGUCCUGAUCCUGACGGCAGAAUGGUUGGCUUCGAUACGAUUAUAUUACGGGCUGGGUCGGCCCGCUCCACGCCUCCACCUCAGGUGAAGAGCUCGGGUACGUACAUGUUGGGCGGUGCGUGAAUCGACGAAACACUGGGGGAGAUUCCUCGUCUUUGUUGGGUUUUACCGUACGUCGAUCCAUGGGCCCGCGCGCUACCGAUGACAGUAGACCUAUAUAAUCCGGCGACAGAGUUUGUUACAUGUAUGUACUGUGUCGUCCGUGAACGUCCGCAGGAAUGGAUCCAAAGGCUGCGCACCCGUGUGCACUGUACAUCAGUACACGCCUCCCAAUGAAAGUUGGGCCACACGUGCAACCCAACAAGCAUGUUAACAAAAGGAUCGUGUUCUGUCGGUCUCCAUUGUAGCUAGUUUCCCACAAGGACCGUGUCGACUGGGAGAUCGUUGACAGCAUAUUAUAGCAUUAGUGGUGAUUUUGUUGAUUUGCCCGUGAUGUGUAUAUGGAUAUGUGCUCUAGUAUUCAAUUUGCGUGCACCUUUCAUGAUACGGACUGAGUGAAAGAGACCGUCACUGGCUACAGCUGAGAAAAUGGGCGCUGCGUGCCGAAGUGCCAGACUUCCAGCUCCAUCCAGGAGUAACAGACAAUGGGCCGGAGUAUUUAACUCGUUGUUGAUUAGCUAAAACAACAGGAAGAUAUGUUGGUUGGAGUACAAAGAUAACUGCAUGCAACGGGUUCAUUCACAUCACAUCAAGUCCAGCAAACAGGGGCCCGUUUCUUUUUCACGACUGUCACUUGUAAAGGUGAAUCGGAGGAGGGUGCACGGAUGUUUU
rnacentral:lncRNA from 7 species